ACUCCUACGGGAGGCAGCAGUGGGGAAUAUUGCACAAUGGGCGCAAGCCUGAUGCAGCCAUGCCGCGUGUAUGAAGAAGGCCUUCGGGUUGUAAAGUACUUUCAGUCAGUGAGGAAGGGUGGGUUGUUAAAUAGCGAUACUUCAUUUGACGUUAGCUGCAGAAGAAGCACCGGCUAACUCCGUGCCAGCAGCCGCGGUAAUACGGAGGGUGCGAGCGUUAUCGG
rnacentral:rRNA from 1 species